rnacentral:rRNA from 1 species
GUGGGGAAUAUUGGGCAAUGGAGGCAACUCUGACCCAGCCAUGCCGCGUGCAGGAUGACGGCCCUCUGGGUUGUAAACUGCUUUUAUACGGGAAGAAAAAAUACUACGUGUAGUAUACUGACGGUACCGUAAGAAUAAGGAUCGGCUAACUCCGUGCCAGCAGCCGCGGUAAUACGGAGGAUCCAAGCGUUGUCCGGAUUUAUUGGGUUUAAAGGGUGCGUAGGCGGAUCUUUAAGUCAGUGGUGAAAGCCUGCAGCUUAACUGUAGAAUUGCCAUUGAAACUGAAGAUCUUGAAUGUGGUUAAAGUAGGCGGAAUGUAUCAUGUAGCGGUGAAAUGCUUAGAUAUGAUACAGAACACCGAUAGCGAAGGCAGCUUGCUGAACCAUUAUUGACGCUGAGGCACGAAAGCGUGGGGAGCGAACAGGAUUAGAAACCCUUGUAGUCC